UGGCUCAGUGGUAGAGUGCUUGCCUUGCAUGCAUGAGGCCUUGGGUUCAAUUCCUUA
rfam:Dipodomys ordii contig_45608, whole genome shotgun sequence.